UACAGAGGGUGCGAGCGUUGUUCGGAAUUAUUGGGCGUAAAGGGUGCGUAGGCGGUGCGGUAAGUCUCUUGUGAAAUCUCCGGGCUCAACUCGGAGCCUGCAGGGGAAACUGCCGUGCUUGAGUGUGGGAGAGGUGAGUGGAAUUCCUGGUGUAGCGGUGAAAUGCGUAGAUAUCAGGAGGAACACCUGUGGCGAAAGCGGCUCACUGGACCAUAACUGACGCUGAGGCGCGAAAGGUAGGGGAGCAAACAGG
rnacentral:rRNA from 1 species